rnacentral:rRNA from 1 species
GGUCAAGUGAAGAAGCGCAUACGGUGGAUGCCUUGGCAGUCAGAGGCGAUGAAAGACGUGGUAGCCUGCGAAAAGCUUCGGGGAGUCGGCAAACAGACUUUGAUCCGGAGAUGUCUGAAUGGGGGAACCCAGCCAUCAUAAGAUGGUUAUCUUGUACUGAAUACAUAGGUGCAAGAAGCGAACCAGGGGAACUGAAACAUCUAAGUACCCUGAGGAAAAGAAAUCAACCGAGAUUCCCUUAGUAGUGGCGAGCGAACGGGGACUAGCCCUUAAGUGGCUUUGAGAUUAGCGGAACGCUCUGGAAAGUGCGGCCAUAGUGGGUGAUAGCCCUGUACGCGAAAAUCUCUUAGUCAUGAAAUCGAGUAGGACGGAGCACGAGAAACUUUGUCUGAAUAUGGGGGGACCAUCCUCCAAGGCUAAAUACUACUGACUGACCGAUAGUGAACUAGUACCGUGAGGGAAAGGCGAAAAGAACCCCGGAGAGGGGAGUGAAAUAGAUCCUGAAACCGUAUGCGUACAAGCAGUGGGAGCCCACUUUGUUGGGUGACUGCGUACCUUUUGUAUAAUGGGUCAGCGACUUAUUUUCAGUGGCGAGCUUAACCGAAUAGGGGAGGCGUAGCGAAAGCGAGUCUUAAUAGGGCGUCUAGUCGCUGGGAAUAGACCCGAAACCGGGCGAUCUAUCCAUGGGCAGGUUGAAGGUUGGGUAACACUAACUGGAGGACCGAACCGACUACCGUUGAAAAGUUAGCGGAUGACCUGUGGAUCGGAGUGAAAGGCUAAUCAAGCUCGGAGAUAGCUGGUUCUCCUCGAAAGCUAUUUAGGUAGCGCCUCAUGUAUCACUGUAGGGGGUAGAGCACUGUUUCGGCUAGGGGGUCAUCCCGACUUACCAAACCGAUGCAAACUCCGAAUACCUACAAGUGCCGAGCAUGGGAGACACACGGCGGG